GAAGUCUCCAUGCGUAUCAAAGUAAUCAAAGACAGAAAGACCAAGCCGGUUGGGGAAUGAGAAUUGGUGGCCUGGCAGGUGGACAGUCAGAUCGCUUGGGUUGAUGCUGAAAGUGAUCUCUAUUGGGGCUCCCUUCUGGAAAGGGAAGACCGUCUCCCUUUGCUCGGUACCCCACUCUUCCAUUUUCUUUGAGUUGCACACAAUGAGGUUCACAUCACCGUGAGCAUCAAAGCGGGGGUUGAAGUGAAGCCCCAGGUGGGUUGAGUCCUUGCCCAGAUUCAUCACAAAGCUUUUGGCAUUCGGUGCGAUUAUCCCCUUGACAGUGAGGCGCUGGCCAGGCUUGAGACCCAAGUUGGUGCACACUGGUCCCUGC
rnacentral:lncRNA from 1 species